rnacentral:rRNA from 1 species
GACGAACGCUGGCGGCGUGCUUAACACAUGCAAGUCGAACGGAAAGGCCCUGCUUUUGUGGGGUGCUCGAGUGGCGAACGGGUGAGUAACACGUGAGUAACCUGCCCUUGACUUUGGGAUAACUUCAGGAAACUGGGGCUAAUACCGGAUAGGAGCUCCUGCUGCAUGGUGGGGGUUGGAAAGUUUCGGCGGUUGGGGAUGGACUCGCGGCGUAUCAGCUUGUUGGUGGGGUAGCGGCUUACCAAGGCUUUGACGGGUAGCCCGCCUGAGAGGGUGACCGGCCACAUUGGGACUGAGAUGCGGCCCAGACUCCUACGGGAGGCAGCAGUGGGGAAUAUUGAACAAUGGGCGGAAGCCUGAUGCAGCAACGCCGCGUGCGGGAUGACGGCCUUCGGGUUGUAAACCGAUUUCGCCUGUGACGAAGCGUGAGUGACGGUAAUGGGUACAGAAGCACCGGCUAACUACGUG